UACGUAGGGCGCAAGCGUUGUCCGGAUUUAUUGGGCGUAAAGAGCUCGUAGGCGGUUUGUCGCGUCGUCCGUGAAAACUCACAGCUUAACUGUGAGCUUGCGGUCGAUACGGGCAGGCUAGAGUUCGGUAGGGGAGACUGGAAUUCCUGGUGUAGCGGUGAAAUGCGCAGAUAUCAGGAGGAACACCGGUGGCGAAGGCGGGUCUCUGGGCCGAUAUUGACGCUGAGGAGCGAAAGCGUGGGGAGCGAACAGG
rnacentral:rRNA from 1 species